rnacentral:rRNA from 1 species
CCUACGGGAGGCAGCAGUGAGGAAUAUUGGUCAAUGGACGAGAGUCUGAACCAGCCAAGUCGCGUGAAGGAUGACUGCCCUAUGGGUUGUAAACUUCUUUUAUAUGGGAAUAAAAUGUUCCACGUGUGGGAUUUUGUAUGUACCAUAUGAAUAAGGUUCGGCUAACUCCGUGCCAGCAGCCGCGGUAAUACGGAGGAGCCGAGCGUUAUCCGGAUUUAUUGGGUUUAAAGGGAGCGUAGGUGGAUUGUUAAGUCAGUUGUGAAAGGUUGCGGCUCAACCGUAAAAUUGCAGUUGAAACUGGCAGUCUUGAGUACAGUAGAGGUGGGCGGAAUGCGUGGUGUAGCGGUGAAAUGCUUAGAUAUCACGAAGAACUCCGAUUGCGAAGGCAGCUCACUGGACUGCAACUGACACUGAGGCUCGAAAGUGUGGGUAUCAAACAGGAUUAGAUACCCUAGUAGUC